ACCUAAGACACAGCAGCAGUAAAAGGAAAAGAGGGAAAAAGGAUAGCGGAGAGAAAGAGAGAACCGAGGGGGAAGAAGAGAAGAGGAAGGUUGCGCAGGCGCCACUGGCCAUCGCCGCUUCGUUGUCGUCGUCCUCGCGAGCCGCCACCGCCGGCCUGGAGCCCGCCGCUCGUGUCUCGCCGCGGGACUUGGUGCUGUCACUGCCAUCGCGUCGUUUGGAGAGGAAGAGUCAUGCCUGAGAGAGGGAGAAUCAGGAGGAGCGUCGCACAGGAGGGAGGUGACGCCUUGUUGUCGCGGUGCUUCCAUGGCCACCGACGCGCCGCUGCACUUCAUGGUAACCGCCGAAGCCUUCGUCACCACAGACACAGUCAACGCUGAUUAGGGCAGAGGAGAGUGGAAAGCAUGAGAGAUACACGGAAGACAGAGGAGCAGAAACGCGACAAGGGGGAGAAGGGCGAGGUCUGCUCUCAUGCCGUCCUGCUCCGCCACCGCUGCUGCCAUCGAUUAGAUUGAAUUUUCACUAAGAAAAAUGAACCACCCAAAUAUUGUGAAGCUAAAGGAAGUUAUUCGAGAAAGUGACAUUCUGUACUUUGUUUUUGAGUACAUGGAAUGCAACCUGUACCAACUUAUGAAAGACAGGGAGAAGAUGUUUUCUGAGGGUGAAGUUAGGAAUUGGUGUUUUCAAGUUUUCCAAGGUCUUGCAUAUAUGCACCAGUGGGGAUACUUCCACCGUUAUCUGAAGCCUGCAAAUGGAGAUUUAUACUAUGGUCUAUUCUGAUUUUGGCCUAGCACGUGAGAUCAGUUCACAAUCACCCUACACUGAGUAUGUCUCCACACGGUGGUAUCGUGCUCCUGAAGUGCUACUUCAAUCUUAUCUGUAUAGCUCCAAAGUUGACAUGUGGGCAAUGGGUGCUAUAAU